CCUACGGGAGGCAGCAGUGAGGAAUAUUGGUCAAUGGGCGCGAGCCUGAACCAGCCAAGUCGCGUGAGGGAAGACGGUCCUAUGGAUUGUAAACCUCUUUUGACGGGGAGCAAAAGACGCCACGCGUGGCGCUCCGAGAGUACCCGAAGAAAAAGCAUAGGCAAAACCCGCGCCAGCAGACGCGGCACUACGGAGGAUUCAAGCGUUACCCGGAUUUAUUGGGUUUAAAGGGUGCGUAGGCGGUUCGAAAAGUUAGAGGUGAAAUCCCGGGGCUUAACUCCGGCACAGCCUCUGAUACUGUCGAGCUAGAGUGUAGUUGCGGUAGGCGGAAUGUAUGGUGUAGCGGUGAAAUGCAUAGAGAUCAUACAGAACACCGAUUGCGAAGGCAGCGUACCAAACUACGACUGACGUUGAGGCACGAAAGCGUGGGGAGCAAACAGGAUUAGAUACCCGGGUAGUC
rnacentral:rRNA from 1 species